CCUAUCUAGUAAAUUUGGUGCCUACAUAUAAUACACGAAAAGAUUAUAAUUUUUGGUUCGAUGAGACAAUGUAGAUCGUUUAAACAUGGAACAUUUUCAAUAUAUGGUUUUUAUUCAUGUAUAAAUGAGAGUGCAUAUAGAUUAAAGAACUGAUUAGUAAGCAGAAGGACUAGGUACGGUAUUAAUUUAUACAUGAUUUAUCAGUGCAUUGGCAGCAACAAACACCGCCAUAACUAUAAAUUCGACAUUCACCUGCAUUUUGGAACCCCAUAGUCUCGCAUUUUGCCGCGCACGGUGGUGUGAGUGUACAUCCGUCCGGCAUACAUUUGUAAUAGACUCCUAAUUAAUUGGUUUAUCAUAAACACAAAUUAACAAUACAUCAAGUACCAAAAUAAAUUAAUUCAAUAUUUUAACAUAUUGCAUAAACAAAUGGACUUUUGUUCUGUGUUUAGUGACUUUAGACUUGUUUUUAUAAAUAAAAAAUAAACGGGAUUGAGAAAAUACGGAUUAGAAAAAGUUAUUUUUUGAGUUUGAGAAGUCCAUAUCUAAACAAAGAAAUACGUUUACCUGGAACGGCCGAAUCAAUGGGCAAAAUGAUGAGAGCAAACACCAUCAUGGAAAGUAGCAGAAGAGAUGAAAACUUCUCUGUUGCCAUUACUUUAGUUUAAUUUUGGUAAAUGCUAGAAGAAAAUACAGCCUAUAAAAUAGUUUGGUACAAAAUAAAUGUUAGAAGAAAUUCUUAUAUAAUAAGGACUUAUUAAGACUAAGAACAUAACGAAUAUCAAAAACAAUAUUUCUCUAUGUAAGAAAUAUUUUGGAACUCUUCAAAGAUUUAAUUUUUCAAUAUUUGUUGUCUUCUUCAGUAAGAGACUUUAACAUUGUAGAUCAAAUCUUCGUUAUUUGUUAUUUGUUGAGAACUGGUUGCGUUGGUCUUCUUUGUGUUUGUAUACACAUAUACACAAAUAUAUAGAGUUUUUUAAAAUAAAUAUUCGAUAUCAUGGUAAUGAAUUUCUCCAUAUCAUAAUUUGACUGUAAAUUAACAUAAUUAUCUACAAUUGGGCAAUGUAUUUAAUAGUUAUUAUGUUUCCAUUAGAAAUUGUGCUGAGAUGUUAAGCUGUUUUUAAUAUUAAAUAACAUAAAGAAAAAAAACACAUUUAAUUAAGAAUCUAGCACCCCCUAUUUUCCAAAACUUUUAAUCACUUUUUAAAAGAGAUUUUUUUAACUUUUAAAACUUUUUGGCACCAUUUUUUUUUAUGAGAUGUUAAAUUUGUUGAUUAUCGUGAAAAAGAAUAUAUAUGUACAAAGAUAUGAUUUCAUAUAGAGACACUACUUCAAAAAAAUAACUUUGAUGGGCAUUGAACCAGAAACGCAGCAGUCCCUGGUACUUCGGCUUCAAGUAGUACUUUGUAGACAUAAUCUAUUUUCUCACUGUCUUAUCUAUCACUUUAAUUAGCAAAAUGAUCCACUGGUUUUACAGUGCCAUUGUGUCUCCUAUCAUUACGCUCCCGCCAACAAAAAAAAAGAGAUACUGACCUGCAAGACCAAUCUCAGCAUAAUGAAAGUGAGACGAUCAUAAGAUCUCGUGAGCAGAUGCGCUAGUGUGGUGUUCCAGUCAGGGUCGGGUUCAGAGUCAAACAGGUUGCUGAUAUACUCAAAUAUUUACCACUAAAACCAACAGCAAAUGCACGGCAAUGCCCGGUAGUAUAUAUCGAUCGAAUGCUUCAGAGAUCAAGUUUACACUAUGAAUCUACGAGAGAAGAAUCAAGCUAGAACAAAAAGAUUUUGUUUUUACGGUUUCAAUUGCGACAAAUGUAAAAGACAAAAUGUAAACGAAGUUAAGCUUAUGGAUUAAAACGCUAGGCAUUGGGAAUUCUCAGGAAAACGUCAAUCAUGAAAUGUAACAAAUCAUGGACGAACGAGUUCAUGAGAGCUUGGUUAAACUGUCGAUCAAAAGUUAUUCGAUCUUAUGCAAGCAACUCUGAUUUUAUGGAUUGGCCGAUGAUAUUAAGGAUGCAAGAAAUUUUUUUUAAUGAUUGUUACAAUCAAAAUAUGCUGGAUUAGCAGUUUUGAAUUAUUGGAUCGCAGACCUAGAUGUCUACGUUCAUGGGGCUGAAGCUAUCUUGAAGUUCGAGAACAUCCCUUAGUAUAGUAGCCUUUUAGGGUCUUCACGAAAUGAAUGCAACGUAUUGGAAUUUACUGCUUGCAUGCUCACAAGUUGGGGAAACAAAGGCUCACUAACUACUAGGGAAAGUUUUAAAAUGUUUGGAAAAUUGAGCUAAUGUGAACGUACGUCGACUCUUUAGCAAAAUUAACACAAUUAUGUCCACUCAAUGUAAUUUUCCAUGCUCUUCUAUAAUAUCUCAUACUUACUCGUGUCUCCAAACUCUAAUCGGUGUGAUUUUUGUUUUAAAUCCAACAUCGUAAUCAACUGCCUCUUUCACAUAGUAAAUAACAAUUAGAAACUUAUGUCUAUAAAGUUCUAUUGGUGGUAUAUUAUCAUUAAAUAUUUUCGACGUUCUAUGUAAUUCUCUUAAACAUAGUUAUGGAUGUGUUUCAAUGCUUUUGAAAAGAUUUCUUCAAUAAUCUUGAUGGUGAUAUAUUUUCAUUAAAUAUCCUCAAUUAACUUUAUAUGUGAUUAUCUUGAACAUGGUCUUGGAUGUGUUCCCCUUUUUUUCUUGAAAAUAUUUUUUCGAUGAGUUUUUCAUAGGGACAAGUUUGGCGCAUGUUGCACAUUUAGUGUAAAUGUGUGUUUAUGAACCAAUAACAUGAAGGGUGAUGAUUGGUGACUGCUAUAGCCAGUGCCGUGCCUACACUUUUGGGGGCUUAAGGCUAAUAUAUACUAUUAAAAUAGAAGUAUUGAUUUUUUCUACGUGUAAUAUUUUAUUUAGAUCGAUUAUCCAUAAAAAAUUAUUAAAUUUUACAUAACUUAAUUACAAUAUUUAUUAAUAUCUUUAUUAUUAUAUAAAAUAGUAAUAAAUAUCUUAAUGAAUGUCUAACAAAAUCUUUCAAAUAUCUUUUAAAAUUUUUUAAAAAUAUUUUUUCGAAAUUCGUUAAUUAAAAUUAUAAUUAUCACAAAGUAUAGUUAGAAAAUAAAUUUUAGUUUAGUUUUGAUUGUAAAAAAAUUAAUAAUUAUAUAAAAUAAUUUUAAUAAUAUUUUAAUGAUAGUAAAAAAUUUAAAUUAAUUUAAUUUAAAAAUUAAUUGAAAAAAAUAUCUUUAAUUUUUUUGAAAAAAAAAAUAUUAAUUUCUAUUUCUAAUUUAAAAAUAAAACUAUUUUAUCUAUUUAGCACUUUUAUGACUUAUUUCAUAUGUGAUUUUCUCUUUAAUCUAAGACCAUUUAGAAGUCAUACAUUUAUAUGUUUUACCAUGUAAUACAGUUAGUUUACACAUUCCUUCAUAGAAGAAACAUUUGAUUUUUAUUCAUAUCGUAUAUAUAAGACUUUAGCCUACUGUUAUUAACGUUAGUGUAUUCUCAUGAGUUAAAAACCAAUUUGGUUUAUUAUUUAAACAACUAUAUUAAAUUGGUUUAAUUAAUCACUAUAUACCAAGUUCUUUAUUAUGUAGGUUAACCCUAAUUUAAUUUCCACAUAUAUUUCAAAUUUAGAAAUAAAACAAAAACUAUGUAAAUCAUCAUUGUUACAUAAUAAUGCUUUCAAAUUACAUUUUGUUACAAAAAUACAAAAUUUAUAAAUUUUAUAGUAAUAAUAUUAUAUGCCACACGAAUAUUAUUAUAAAAUUAGAUAAUAUAUAACACCAAAUUAUAUUAAUUUAUUGAUAUAUUUUAUUAUAUAACCUAAUUUUUUUUUUGAUGAAAUUUCAAAUAUAUUGAACUAUCAAUAGAAUGUUAUGCACAUAUCAACACUUUAUGAACUGAAGAGCUAUGCUAUAAGAGCGUAAAUCUACUUCUAUGGUGUUACUUCAAACCAUCUCCUCAUUAGUUCCCUCUAGCUUCAAAAACCGCUAUAGUAUCGUUAUAUAGCGUUAUUCGUCCGCUAUUAAAACGCAUUUUUCUUGUAGUGAUUCUUCCAAUAUCUGUAAGCUCAAGUUACAUAUUUGAUUAUGAUGUACAUUCGACUUUAGGUUAAUCACUCGGAAUCUUGGAUCAUCAAUAUGGAAGAAGAAAACGCUCGAAACAAGAAGGAAGCAUGUCCCUCUCUAAGGCCUUAAGUCUAGAUCCUAAUGAUAUUGAUCACUCAAGAGUCAAUGCAUCGAUUACUAACAUGGUUUUCUAACUUCUCGUUUUCUUAUCAACUAGGGGAUUAUAGCUUGCUUAUACACUGUUAUAAAUAUUUUUAAAAUUAAUUAAUUAUUAAUAAUAUUAAUAAAAGAUGUCGUGGAUUCAAUUUAUAACAUUUUGUUAUUAUUACUUUUGGACAAAGCCUAUAAAAACCUAAUUCUUUCAUAUUAGAGAGAUGCAUUCAUUCGAACACAACAACAAAAAAUAAGACAUCUUCUUCCACUUGAAUAUUCUUUUAUUUUUUUUAGUUGUUUUGUGUUUGAGGGUAAUGAACAUAGGUUCAACACGUUCUUUUCUUCAGUGAUAGAAAAUUAAAAUAUAUUCAGUUGUAUCAUGAGAUUUUGGAAUGCCAUGCAAAUUAUCAUACAAUGGGCCUAAAAGAGUGUCUUUCCUCCGCAAACCCGUUUUUCUUUCCAAAUUCUUGUAUUUUUCUUUCCAAAUUCUUGUAUCGAUAUUUAUAUUUAUCGAUUUAUUUAUUCAAAUGCUUUACAAUUGUUCAAUUUGCCCUAUUUUAAAAUUUGUGCUCCUACAGUGUGGUGUUGUGAAUUGAGAGUACAUAUAAUGAUGGAACUCGUUUUUGACGAUAUGGUUUAAGACCAUUUUUUCGGUAAGUUUCCGGACGAAGACGUUCGUCGGAAUAACCAAAUGUUGGACACUAUGAAGUAGUGUACUCGUGUGUCAAAAUUGGAGUUGGUUUUGAAUGGGAAAUGAAAAACAAAUGUGAAAGUAUUUGUAAAAUAUUCAUAUUAGAAAUAUGAGGUGAGAAUCCUCUUGUAUAUAAAAUGGAGAAAAUAAAGCAAAGUUUAAAACUUUGUUUAUACUGAGAAAGAAAGAUAUUUGGACCAAACCUAAAUUUCAGGUUUUGAAAUUUGGUAAAUGAUUCAAGAAAUUAAGUAAAGACUAAUAAAGAAUUUAGACUUGUUAGUCUAGUCUUUACUUAAUUUAUUUGUCUUUAUUUUUAAAAACUUCGUGGUAAAUAAAGUUUGAACAAAUAAAGAAAAAAAAUUUAUCUUUGCUAAUUAAAUUGGUGAAUGUGAAGUAGUGGUGGUAUGAAUGCAAAAUUGAUUAUGAUUUUGUAACCUACAUCUAAAUUAAUGCACAUCCAUAUAAUUAUGAUGAGAAUCUCCAUUUUGUGCCAACGUUUACGGUUUGGUCUAUGACAAACGUAAGGUUUGGUUAGUGACUAUAUAAUAGUCAUUCCUCUUCUCAUUCUAGAUACACACAUCCAAGACAAACAAAACCACUUUCUCCUAUUUUAUUUUUUUGUCUGAGAGUAUAAUAUAAAAAUAGGUUCGACAGGCUUUGGUUUUCAAGUGUUGUGAGACUGAAGAUAUAGGCAGUUGUAUCAUGGGAUUCUUAAACGUAUCAAACCGGUACACUACGGACGUUUAAAGGAUUAAGGAAAGAGAUCUAAUCUCGACUCUGCUUCAACCUAGUUCUUUUCCAACUACGGUAUUAUAUUGUUAUAUUUUUUUUCAUGUUAUUUGUAAAUUUUUUGCUUUACAUAUCAAAUUUGCCUAUCUAGUAAAUUUGGUGCCUACAUAUAAUACACGAAAAGAUUAUAAUUUUUGGUUCGAUGAGACAAUGUAGAUCGUUUAAACAUGGAACAUUUUCAAUAUAUGGUUUUUAUUCAUGUAUAAAUGAGAGUGCAUAUAGAUUAAAGAACUGAUUAGUAAGCAGAAGGACUAGGUACGGUAUUAAUUUAUACAUGAUUUAUCAGUGCAUUGGCAGCAACAAACACCGCCAUAACUAUAAAUUCGACAUUCACCUGCAUUUUGGAACCCCAUAGUCUCGCAUUUUGCCGCGCACGGUGGUGUGAGUGUACAUCCGUCCGGCA
rnacentral:lncRNA from 1 species